UUUUGAGUGGACUGUAGAAAAUGUUGCUAAAUCAAUUGUUUGCAUGAUGAUGUCGGGUCCCUGUUUAACCUGUUGCGGCACGCUGCAAUGGUGUUCAAAUGCAUAAUUCUGAUGUACUACAAGAACAGUGGUGGUCAUAACUACAGGAGGCAGGUAACUAUUGUACCAGAUGUUAUCUAAAUGCUUUUAUACUGCAUAUUCAUGUUAAUGAGCAUUGACAUUUUGCAAGUGACAUGGGAAGUGAGAUAAGGUAAUUUAUUUAUUGUGAUUUUGUCACUGUUUUGACUCUGCACCAGUUUUGACUGAGAUGUAUGUUUUGUCGCGGCAUAGUUUUGGGUAAAUAUUACUUCAAUAGUCUUGGUAUGUAAUCGAGUUGUGUAAGUUACUUGAGAAGUCCAUCAUUUUUGCAAGUUGAAAUUGUCAAAGCAGAGACCAGAUCACCAGCUUGCUUAACUCAUCAAAUGCUACUGAUGUUUUUAGUACUUCAUAAUUUUGAGCAGUGGCAUCCUGAUCAUGUAACACCUGAUCAUAAAAAUUUAAAAGCGUUACAUUGUUCAAGCCGGGUUCAAGUGAGUCGGGUUAGUUCUACAUGGUUUUCCGAAAAAUAUCUAACUAUGCAGCAUCUCCUUUUCUUACUGUUUAAAAGUUUUCCGUGGCCUGUAAACGAUGUGGGACUAUCAUGUCAAUCUAAUGUGGUUUCUAAUUGGCUAAACAUCAUUCAUUUAUCUUCUGUGUUAUUUUUUCACUAUCGGAUCACUUGCCUAAAGCUCCUGGUACAGCUCUACAUCAGUUUCUGAGCAAUAGGGCAGAGAGAAUUCAAAGACAAAAAACUGAUCAACAACCGCAGGAUGCCCGGUCAAAAGCUUCAAUAAAUAGCGAUGUGAAUGCUUCAGAUCAUACUGGACAAACAGCAUUACACUGGAGUGCGGUGCAGGGAGCUGUUCAGGUUGCAGAGAUCUUGCUCCAAGAGGGUGCCAGUGUUGGUGCUGCUGACAUGUAUGGAUAUCAGCAAGAAGUCCUCUUGGCAAAUUUCAGACAUGGUAUGGAUGUCACAUAGAGAAGUGGAGAUAUAUAAGUGACUGCCCUGGAACCUCCGUUGCUGUAAGCUCAAUUUUUCUUGGACUGAUAUUGGUUGGCAGAGCAGCCUUUGUUCUCCCCUUAUCAUUCAUUUCCAACUUGGCCAAGAGAUCUUCCAGUGACAGAAUUGAGCUAAAACAGCACGUUCAAUCCUACAGAUUCUAGGUUUUGUUGGUUAUGCAU